AUUUAUUUAGUAUAUAUAGUACAAUUGACUUCCAAUCAAUUAGAUUGAUUAACUCAAAAUAAAUA
rnacentral:tRNA from 1 species